UAAGACAGAGGUGGCAAGCGUUGUUCGGAAUCACUGGGCUUAAAGGGCACGUAGGCGGCCCGGCAAGUCGGAUGUGAAAUCCCCUGGCUUAACCAGGGAACUGCAUCCGAAACUACCGGGCUCGAGCGCAGGAGGGGAGAGCGGAACUCCUAGUGGAGCGGUGAAAUGCGUAGAUAUUAGGAGGAACGCCGGUGGCGAAAGCGGCUCUCUGGCCUGCAGCUGACGCUGAGGUGCGAAAGCUAGGGGAGCAAACAGGAUUAGAUACCCUGGUAGUCCUAGCCCUAAACGAUGGGCACUAAGUAGGGGGGAUUCCGAUGUCCUCUCUGCCGAAGCGAAAGUAUUAAGUGCCCCGCCUGGGGAGUACGGUCGCAAGGCUA
rnacentral:rRNA from 1 species